AGUGAACGCUGGCGGUAGGCCUAACACAUGCAAGUCGAACGGCAGCACAGUAAGAGCUUGCUCUUACGGGUGGCGAGUGGCGGACGGGUGAGGAAUACAUCGGAAUCUACUUUUUCGUGGGGGAUAACGUAGGGAAACUUACGCUAAUACCGCAUACGACCUACGGGUGAAAGCAGGGGAUCUUCGGACCUUGCGCGAUUGAAUGAGCCGAUGUCGGAUUAGCUAGUUGGCGGGGUAAAGGCCCACCAAGGCGACGAUCCGUAGCUGGUCUGAGAGGAUGAUCAGCCACACUGGAACUGAGACACGGUCCAGACUCCUACGGGAGGCAGCAGUGGGGAAUAUUGGACAAUGGGCGCAAGCCUGAUCUAGCCAUACCGCGUGGGUGAAGAAGGCCUUCGGGUUGUAAGGCCCUUUUGUUGGGAAAGAAAAGCAGCAGGUUAAUACCCCGCUGUUCUGACGGUACCCAAAGAAUAAGCACCGGCUAACUUCGUG
rnacentral:rRNA from 1 species